AAAAGACAAAGGCCCCAAAUCAUAGAAACUGACCGACCGAGCCGGAGAAGGUACAGAUGAAGAAGCUGGCGAGAAAUUGGCGAAAAUCUCAUAACUUGAGCUCAUCUCUCCCAACUUGGGAGGAUCCCUCCCUCAAUGAUUCUCGUCCCAUGGACACUGAAGGUUUUCUCUUAGAUGCCGAGAAAUGAUCUUAGAUGCUGAGAAAUGAUUUAUUUUCUCAGCAACCAAACAGUCAGGGAUUAAUUACUUUCCAUCUCUGUUUUUCAAUACACAGAACAAGAAGAGUUGGUUCGAUCGCUUGAAAUGACGCAAGCUCAGCAGUCUUUUAUAUGGAGGUGGGUGUUCGCUGGACUUCUCUUCUGCUACGCUGUGUUUCAACUGUACUCCAUCUACCAGCAGGCUACUUAUCCAUGGAAACUGAGGUAUCAUGCUUACUUCAUGGAAGAUAUCGAUUCAUGGAUGGUAAUCUUUGCAGAUUGGGUAGCUGUUUUAGUAUGCUCAAUGGCCAUUGUGGGUUUACUUCAUAAUUCAAAGCAUCAAAGGCGGUGGAUUUGGUACUCAUGCUAUACUGGGCUUAUACUUGCAGUUUUCUGGUUAUAUUACAUGUUAAGGAUGUCAAGAUUUCGAUGGGAUGUCUUCUGGCUUCCAUUCGGUCCUCUUUGCGGAGCUAGUAUUUGUCUCUAUGUUGACCAUCUACUUGCCCAGUCAUCAGAAGAAGUGAGGAAACUUAGAGGCUACAUGUAUGCUUUUAAGGCCAGCUAAAUUUCUGUCAACCUGCAUUUUCAUUUUUUUACUUCAUUGGGAUUGAACUCAGUUUUUCAAGCAUAGCAGGUUGGGAAAAGGAAGCUACAUGGAUCACUAAAUUUGAAAUGAGGAAUUUACAUCAUGCUUAUGCCUUUCUGUACAAAUAAAUAACCAUGAGUUUUUCUCUUAAUCUCACAUGUGAUCACAAGUGGGGUGGCUUGAAGUUUGGCAUAAUCUACUUCUACAAGUAAAAUUACUACAUAAGUUUUUGCAAGUCUUUAAGUUGCUCCCAGCCGCAACUCUCUUUUUUAUUCGUUGUAUUUACUUUAGAUAUGAUAUAUCUGAAUGGAUCUAUUUAUGUUUUGAUGUAGUAUGAUGCAUCUGAAUGGAUCAAUAUAGCACUAUGAAUCAGUAUGAUCAACUUAUUGAUGGGUGAGAACUGGAAAGCACUAUGCAGCAC
rnacentral:misc_RNA from 1 species